CCUGCACUCUGGGACAAGCCCUGGAAACGGGGUCUAAUACCGGAUACUGACCCUCGCAGGCAUCUGCGAGGUUCGAAAGCUCCGGCGGUGCAGGAUGAGCCCGCGGCCUAUCAGCUUGUUGGUGAGGUAAUGGCUCACCAAGGCGACGACGGGUAGCCGGCCUGAGAGGGCGACCGGCCACACUGGGACUGAGACACGGCCCAGACUCCUACGGGAGGCAGCAGUGGGGAAUAUUGCACAAUGGGCGAAAGCCUGAUGCAGCGACGCCGCGUGAGGGAUGACGGCCUUCGGGUUGUAAACCUCUUUCAGCAGGGAAGAAGCGAAAGUGACGGUACCUGCAGAAGAAGCGCCGGCUAACUACGUGCCAGCAGCCGCGGUAAUACGUAGGGCGCAAGCGUUGUCCGGAAUUAUUGGGCGUAAAGAGCUCGUAGGCGGCUUGUCGCGUCGGUUGUGAAAGCCCG
rnacentral:rRNA from 2 species